rnacentral:lncRNA from 1 species
GAAGGUUUCAUGCUUCUCCUUUGCCUUCUGCCAUGACUGGAGAAACUCUCCACGGGUGCUGAGAUGUCUUUGACACCUCGCUGAGUAAGGUUGGCAGAGCUUCCUUCACAACAGCCGGAAACGGUUUCCAUUGAAAACCUUCCUCAGGCAGCAGGACAGAAAGCAGACUUGGGUGACACCUUUUGUUUCUCUGUGUUCACUUUCACCAUCACCUACUCUUCCGACCCUGCACGUGAUGCGUCAGCUGGCACCACCCAGAUGCAUAAACUGGCUCCUCUGAUCUUGUGGCCCCCACCCAGGAACUGACUCAGCACAAGACGACAGCUUCGACUCCCUAUGAUUUCAUCUCUGACCAAUCAGCACUCCUGGCUCACUGGCUUCUCCCCACUCACAAAGUUAUCCUUAAAAGCUCUGCUCCCUGAAUGGCUUGGGGAGACUGAUUUGAGUAAUAGUAAAACUCU